rnacentral:rRNA from 1 species
UAACGACUCUCGGCAACGGAUAUCUCGGCUCUCGCAUCGAUGAAGAACGUAGCGAACUGCGAUACUUGGUGUGAAUUGCAGAAUCCCGUGAACCAUCGAGUCUUUGAACGCAAGUUGCGCCCGAAGCCAUUUGGUCGAGGGCACGUUUGCCUGGGUGUCACACAUGGCGUUGCCCCUAACCCCUCUCCUUGAAUUGGGCGGGUGGGACUUGGGUGCGUAUGAUGGCCUCCCGAGACAACCUUGUCCCGGUUGGCCCAAAAUCGAGCGUUGGAGCGAUUAGCACCACGGCAUUCGGUGGUUGAUGAGGCCCCAAUGAUUAAUGUCGUGCGUGUCGCUCACGUACACGCUCCACGAAUCUACCUUUCACCAACGCGACCCCAGGUCAAGCGGGGCUACCCGCUGAGUUUAAGCAUAUCAAUAAGCGGAGGAAAAGAAACUAACAAGGAUUCCCCUAGUAACGGCGAGCGAACCGGGAAGAGCCC